AUUGAACGCUGGCGGCAUGCUUUACACAUGCAAGUCGAACGGUAACAGGCCUUCGGGUGCUGACGAGUGGCGAACGGGUGAGUAAUGCAUCGGAACGUGCCCAAUCGUGGGGGAUAACGUAGCGAAAGUUACGCUAAUACCGCAUAAGCCCUGAGGGGGAAAGCAGGGGAUCGCAAGACCUUGCGCGAAUGGAGCGGCCGAUGUCAGAUUAGCUAGUGUGGGUAAAGCUACCAAGGCGACGAUCUGUAGCGGGUCUGAGAGGAUGAUCCGCCACACUGGGACUGAGACACGGCCCAGACUCCUACGGGAGGCAGCAGUGGGGAAUAUUGGACAAUGGGCGCAAGCCUGAUCCAGCCAUCCCGCGUGAAGGAUGAAGGUCCUCUGGAUUGUAAACUUCUUUCUUUCGGGAAUAAAAACUAGGGGUUCUCCUCAGCUUGAAGGUACCGAAGGAAUAAGCACCGGCUAACUCCGUGCCAGCAG
rnacentral:rRNA from 1 species